ensembl:snRNA U6 U6 spliceosomal RNA
GUGCUCAUUUUGGCAGCAUAUAUAAUACAGUUGGAAUGAUACAGGGAUUAGCAUGACAGGUGUAAAAUAAUAACAUGCAAAUUUGUGAAUCAUUCCAAAUUUUG